AGUGAACGCUGGCGGUAGGCCUAACACAUGCAAGUCGAACGGCAGCACAGUAAGAGCUUGCUCUUACGGGUGGCGAGUGGCGGACGGGCGAGGAAUACAUCGGAAUCUACUUUUUCGUGGGGGAUAACGUAGGGACACUUACGCUAAUACCGCAUACGACCUACGGGUGAAAGCAGGGGAUCUUCGGACCUUGCGCGAUUGAAUGAGCCGAUGUCGGAUUAGCUAGUUGGCGGGGUAAAGGCCCACCAAGGCGACGAUCCGUAGCUGGUCUGAGAGGAUGAUCAGCCACACUGGAACUGAGACACGGUCCAGACUCCUACGGGAGGCAGCAGUGGGGAAUAUUGGACAAUGGGCGCAAGCCUGAUCCAGCCAUACCGCGUGGGUGAAGAAGGCCUUCGGGUUGUAAAGCCCUUUUGUUGGGAAAGAAAAGCAGCAGGUUAAUACCCCGCUGUUCUGACGGUACCCAAAGAAUAAGCACCGGCUAACUUCGUG
rnacentral:rRNA from 1 species